UAAUAUUUUUUUGAAACAUCAACUAUUAUAAUAUAUUGAAAUAAGGUUAUUCGACUACUUGGUGUUCUGUGGUUCCGUGCUUUGUGGAGUAACUUUUUUCAAUAAUGUGCAAAUGAAGACUUGCAAAGGUUUGGGAAAUAUGUUUUCGUUGAAUGAAACAAAUACUAUUAGCUGUUGACACGUCAAGAAAAGUACUUCGACCACGCCACUGAUGAUGACUGCCGCAGUUGAAACGGAGAUUAUAACCAAAGAAGACCACGGCAGAACCCGGAAGCUAAUCACGCCAGACGUGAAAGCUUACAUUUCUAUAAUUAUAAUUGACUUACUCUCUCAACAAAAAAGUUAUGCUUUUUUGUGGAAGUUACCUUUUUUAAACACUCGACAUUCAAUUAAUAUUAUAUGCAGUAUAUAACGAUUGAAAUAAUGAUAUGAUGAAAUGAUUUACGCUGUAUGUUUGAAAAAUGAGGUGAAUUUUCACGUUUCUUAAAAAAUAUUUAUUUAUUCAUCA